rnacentral:rRNA from 1 species
UACAGAGGCCUCGAGCGUUAAUCGGAAUCACUGGGCUUAAAGGGUGCGUAGGCGGCGCUGCAAGUGCCUUGUGAAAUCCCAUCGCUUAACGAUGGAACUGCUCGGUAGACUGCAGUGCUUGAGGUUGGUAGGGGCUGCCGGAACUCUAGGUGGAGCGGUGAAAUGCGUAGAUAUCUAGAGGAACGCCCAAGGCGAAGGCAGGCAGCUGGGCCAAUUCUGACGCUGAGGCACGAAAGCGUGGGGAGGCAAACAGG